UUAGAAUAGAGAUUAUUCUUAUUUACCAAAAUGCGAGAAGACUAUGGCGAAAAAGAUUUUCAUUCUAAACAAACUACAAAGCCUGAGAGUAACUCUACCUUACCUACAUAAUGAAGCAUCACUUCGAUCUUGGUUUUCAUUACGUAUCUGUCAUUCAUAUGUGGCACGACAAACAUAAAAUCAAUAUGACUAUAAGCUUCUACACUUCCACUAUAUAGUUACUAACGGAAAACAAUGUUACUCUUUCAUUUUGAAAAAAAUAUUAUCAAGAGAGACUCAAUCGACAGUCCUCCACCUGAUCUCCUCCACAUUGCACAACUCCUCGCUUUCUCCAAUUUAUCUUCAUUGUUGAUCCUUACUGUUCCAAUUCCCAACCUCUUAGUAGUAGGAGCAGCUGUUGUCAUUAUUCUUCUCUUGAAGCCAUGUUUCUGUUUUGAAAUUGUUGUUUUUUUCCUUGCGACCCAAGUUCCUGUUUUGAAACUACUCCAUCCAUGACAAUACUGGUCCUAAUCGUAUGAAUUCUCCAGUGUCAACUUCAGCAUCCCAUUUAACAUCAUCAACGUAGACAUCAGGAUCAUGAAAAUGUAAGUCACAUGAAGCUCUAUUUAUCUCUGCCCAAUACAGAGAUUUAGCGUUCUUGAUUGCAUUUUCUCACACUGAAUCGUCCUACUGGGCCACUCUAACGUAUUGGAGCAUAUACCGCUCCUCUUCUACAACUUUGGGCAAUGGAACUGA
rnacentral:lncRNA from 1 species